rnacentral:tRNA from 1 species
GGUGGCUCAGUGGUAGAGUGCUUGCCUUGCAUGCUCGAGGCCCUGGGUUCGAUUCCCCAGCACCA